rnacentral:rRNA from 1 species
ACGAACGCUGGCGGCGUGGAUUNGGCAUGCAAGUCGAACGAGAAUCUGAGAGUUCAAGUUUUCGGACAAGAACUUUUGGAGGAAAGUGGCGGAAGGGUGAGUACAACAUGGAUAAUCUACCUUCAAGUUGGGUAUAGCUUCCCGAAAGGGGAGAUAAUCCCGAAUGUGGUGAUCCGGCGCAUGCCGGAGAAUCUAAAGGCGGGGACCGCAAGGCCUGUCGCUUGGAGAUGAGUCCGUGCACUAUCAGCUUGUUGGCGGGGUAAUGGCCCACCAAGGCUUUGACGGUUAGCUGGUCUGAGAGGAUGGUCAGCCACACUGGGACUGAGAUACUGCCCAGACUCCUACGGGAGGCUGCAGUCGAGAAUCAUUCGCAAUGGGCGAAAGCCUGACGGUGCGACGUCGCGUGGAGGAUGAAGGUCUUCGGAUUGUAAACUCCUGUCAUGUGGGAGAAAUGGCCCGGGUCUGAACAGGACCUGGGAAUGAUAGUACCACAGGAGGAAGGGACGGCUAACUCUGUGCCAGCAGCCGCGGUAAUUCAGAGGUCCCGAGCGUUGUUCGGAUUUACUGGGCGUAAAGGGUGCGUAGGCGGCCGAGUAAGUCAGCGGUGAAAUUUUGCAGCUUAACUGUAACAGUGCCGUUGAUACUGCAUGGCUAGGAUUUGGUUGCUGUGGGUGGAAUGUGUGGUGUAGCGGUGAAAUGCUUAGAUAUCACACAGAAUAUCGAUUGCGAAGGCAGCUCACAAAGCCAAGAUUGACGCUGAGGCACGAAAGUGUGGGGAUCAAACAGGAUUAGAUACCCUGGUAGUCCACACUGUAAACGAUGAUAACUCACUGCCGGCGAUACACAGUCGGUGGCCAAGCGAAAGCGAUAAGUUAUCCACCUGGGGAGUACGACCGCAAGGUUGAAACUCAAAGGAAUUGACGGGGGCCCGCACAAGCGGAGGAACAUGUGGUUUAAUUCGAUGAUACGCGAGGAACCUUACCCGGGCUCGAACGGUGCAUGAAUAAGCAAGAGAUUGUUUAGUCCUUCGGGACAUGUAUCGAGGUGCUGCAUGGUUGUCGUCAGCUCGUGCCGUGAGGUGUCGGCUUAAGUGCCAUAACGAGCGCAACCCUUGUUGUUAGUUACCAACAGGUAAAGCUGGGGACUCUAACGAGACUGCCACCGUAAGGUGUGAGGAAGGGGGGGAUGACGUCAAAUCAGCACGGCCCUUAUGUCCGGGGCGACACACGUGUUACAAUGGGGGGUACAGAGGGCAGCCAUCCGGUGACGGAGCGCCAAUCUCCAAAACCCUUCUCAGUUCGGAUUGGAGUCUGCAACCCGACUCCAUGAAGUUGGAUUCGCUAGUAAUCGCGCAUCAGCCAUGGCGCGGUGAAUACGUUCCCGGGCCU